GUCUCAGCGCUUUGCAGGCAGUGCCAGACCUCGGCGUGGCACAGUGCGUGAAACCAAGCCCCACGCAGCAGGCAGGGCACGGCACGUGGGUUUGGGGAAUUGCACAGUUGUUUCGGGAGUGGGCAAAAAAUGCACUCUGUGAUAGGGAACGUGGCUCUCGGAAAGGUAGGUGUCCUGGUUUGUGCAGGAAUGCAGGGCUGGGAGACUCCGCGUGGAAAGGGGGUGGGUGUGGAGAGAGAAAGAGAAUUUGUUUCCAGCGUGGAGAGGCGCCUUUCUAACCCAACACUCGAGCUCCAAUCACACACUCUGAGGUUAGCGUAGCAUUAAAUUAACAGGGUCGGGGUUAUCCAGGGCAUUACACCGCGUGCCCGCGAUGUAACCUCUGCUCAUUUAUACACAAAGAAGAGGGAGAGACGGAGUUACAUCUGGAAAGCCAAAGAGCACGGUGAGUAUCGGUAUUCGCUGCUCUCCCUCCCAUGCCUGCGAACAAAGUUCAAAGGCGGCCGGUGCGGGACCGGGGCUGGCUCCUCCGAAGCCCCCCGCUCCCUAUGGAGGCGGCAGCGCAGCCGCCUUUGGAGCCAGGACCCCCAGUGCAGCCCCUCUGGGGCGAGCCCUCGCUGAACAGCAAGGAGAACUUGCGGUAUCUUGGUUAGAACUUUGCUACUUUACGUAGAGAGGGAAAAAAAAAAUAAUGAAAAAAAUUGACUUGGAUGCAGCGCUAUUUAUAGGUGGCGGUAAAGGCUCCUUUUCAAUAAGCAGCCGUGGAAAAGAAACGUCAGAAAACUGGUUGCUUUAUUGAUCCGAGGUGCUGGAUGGUCACAGCCACGCCAACCAGGCUGCAACUACAAAGUCGCGUCUUCUCUCGGGUUAGGCAGCGAGAAAGGGAAUAGGAUGAGGGUUUUGCUGGCCACUAGCUUGGACACGAUUCAAUUCCCAAGCACAGGUACAGGGCAAAAGAGUGUGAGAUGGAAGACUUUUCCCUUUUCUUUCAGGCACGCACACAAUGCGGGGCACCCGCAGGGCUGAAAGUGGGCCAGGGCUACACGGUGCACGUUAGAACAAGCUGGAAGCACUCCUUGUGCCUGACGGUAUCCCCCACGCCCAUUGGAAAUAAAGCAAGAGGCUUGCUCUUUCUUUACAUGUUUUAAACCUUGUUUUAAUUAGAAUUGCCAAAGUAGGACACCCCGGUGGAAGACGUUUUCAAGUAUCCACCUACCUCUCUGCUGUAAGCAGAAUUGCUCUCUGCUAAAUUGCUUGAAACGCAAAAUUCUGCCCCACCCCCAGCUUGGUUUGGCACCUACUCACUUUUUCCCCCCCGAAAUUGCAAUCGUUUAUGAAAGGUUACUCCAUUGGGAGGAAAAGAGAAACCCCAAACACCCAGCAGUAAUGAGAUGAGUGGACUCUCAGAGCCUGGCUUUGCUCUGUACAACAGGCGAUGCUUUGGACAGAGAGUGUCCCAAAAAAACUCAUGCCUUUUUUUUUUUUUUUGAAGUCACAGAUUGGGCGUAUCCUUACCCUUCUCCUUUAAUUUAUUUGAUUAAAUCAUAACCAAAACAGA